UCUCAGGGUCUGAUUCUCGACGAACUUCAAUCUCCCAUAAUGCUUCGUGAAUUCAUGGACCUCUGUUGCGGGACUACACGUCCCAUGAAACCCUACAGUAAAAGCUUGAAGUAACAUCACGGAGAAAGCAGUAAUUGUCUCAGGGCCAGUGGCGCAAUGGAUAACGCGUCUGACUACGGAUCAGAAGAUUCCAGGUCUUAUGAGUAGGUAGCUGUCCAAAGGAAGUGGAAGCUAAUUAUCUGGGCUGUGGACCAUCUGUGCUCCUGGCAUCUUCCUCCUGAUGUCGAGCUGGUGGCUGCUUUGUUGGUUGUUAACUAACCCAUCCAUGGCACUUUCUUGUGACUUCUAGAAACAGCAGGUACUAUGAGUCUGCCUAUAUGAGCCAGAGAGAAGCAGAAGCAAAGGAGUGAAAAAGAAAUAGAGCACCUGGUAAAGUCAGAGUUGGUGAAGAAGUCUGUCUUCUGUUCAGCCUCCCUCUGCCCUGCCCUCCAUGCUGAACUCUUGUGCUCAGAAGCAUGAGCCAGUGACCAACAGGCAGAACCUUGGAAACUUUUCUGGAAUGGAAAGAGUAUCCUCUCGCUGAGAAUUCUCCCCUUGCCCCUCCAGCCCCUUCCCCUCACAUUCCUCACCUCCAGGCCCAGUUCUUUUACCUGAUCCUGUUUUUGUGACCUUGUUUAAACACCUCCAGCCCAUUGUAAACACUCCUUUCAUGCUCAGCUCCUCCCUCAGCACUUACCUCCCUCCCCAGCACCCCUUCACUCACCUCUGUGCCUGCCCAGCCAGCUAAACUCUUCAACACCAAAAUAAUGGCCUGUUUGACCCUCCUACUGCUCCAAAUUGCUUCUGUACAAUCAAGGCUGUCCUGCAGCUACCAAAGUGGCAGAGUUACUGAGGCAAAAUAAUCUGUGCCGAUUUGCAUUCUCUUCCUUGUCAGCUCUAUUAUACAGUGUUUAUCUGUCAAAAUGAAUAGAAAGUAGAAACUGUUCUGGAACACAGGAAAAGAUGGAAAAUUACCCGAUUUGUUUACAAAGCCAGAACAUACCGAAUAGCAAAACCUGUCAGAAGAAGCCCCCUGCCCCAAAAAAAUCCUAUAGACCAAUCUCACUUAUGAAUAUAUAUGUAAAAAUCCUAAAAUAUUUAAGUUUAACACAUAAAAGACAGCAGUAUAUUAAUAUAAUAAUUACAUACCACAACCAAUUAGGGUUUAAUGUUGGAACUUAAGAUUAGGUCUGAAGAAAUUUAUUUAAAUAAAAGAUCAAAAAUAAACCAAACAAGGGACACCUGGGUGGCUCAGUGGGUUAAAGC